rnacentral:rRNA from 1 species
UACAGAGGUCUCAAGCGUUGUUCGGAUUCAUUGGGCGUAAAGGGUGCGUAGGUGGCGCCGUAAGUCAGGUGUGAAAUUUCGGAGCUUAACUCCGAAACUGCAUUUGAUACUGCGGUGCUUGAGGACUGGAGAGGAGACUGGAAUUCAUGGUGUAGCAGUGAAAUGCGUAGAGAUCAUGAGGAAGACCAGUGGCGAAGGCGGGUCUCUGGGCCGAAAUUGACGCUGAGGAGCGAAAGCGUGGGGAGCAAACAGG